UUCAUCUCUGUUUUGUUCAACAGGGAUCGGGCUGCCCAGAUAUAUAGAUUACACCCUAUACCUGACAUUCCUCGUCUUACAGGUACCAGGUGAUGCUUCGAUGCUGGGAGGCUGAUCCAGCAGCACGACCCACCUUCAGAGCCCUAGUGCUGGAAGUAGAGCAGGUAGCGUCCUCACUGCUUGGGGACCACUACGUGCAGCUGACCGCAGCUUACGUGAACGUAGGCCCCGGCGCGGUGGAUGAUGGGAGUGUGUUUCCGGAACAGGGGCAGUCCUCGCCCCUGCAUCACAGGAGCACGUCAAGGCCCCGGCCCCUCUCAGAGCCACCUCUGCCCACUUGACUAAAGCCCUAAGUAGGCCACAGGAACUAGACCUGCUAAGUGGCCUUAAGCUAAUUCCAGGCUGCCUCUGGACCUAUGACAAGCUGCAGCACGUAAAAACCUCCACUCUUUAACUUUCCGAGGCUACUGAAGGUGGAAAACGGGGCUGUUUGAGCCCCUCGUUCCAGCAUGAACCAGUGUAAUUUUUGUAGCAUGUAUUUAUUUAAUGUUUGUUUUGUACCUGUUUCUGAAUACGGAGGAUCCAGCAGUGAUCACAGAGAUCCUACAGUGUAAAAUACUAUGAAUGAAUGAAUGAAUGAAUGAACAUUCAAGCACAA
rnacentral:lncRNA from 1 species